GACGAACGCUGGCGGCGUGCCUAAUACAUGAAAGUAGAACGCAGUUGCGAACGGGUGAGUAACGCGUAGGUAACUGCCUCAUAGCGGGGGAUAACUAGUGGAAACGAUAGCUAAUACCGCAUACGGUGAGAUGGAACGGCGUUGUAUUAGCUAGUUGGUGAGGUAAAGGCUCACCAAGGCGACGAUACAUAGCCGACCCGAGAGGGUGAUCGGCCACACUAGGACGGCGACACGGCCCAGACUCCUACGGGAGGCAGCAGUAGGGAAUCUUCGUCAAUGGACGGAAGUCUGACCGAGCAACUCCGCGUGAGUGAAGAAGGUUUUCGGAUCGUAAAGCUCUGUUGUUAGAGAAGCGGUCCCUAACCCUAAAGGGACGGCGAACUACGUGCCAGCAGCCGCGGUACUUC
rnacentral:rRNA from 1 species